rnacentral:rRNA from 1 species
CCUACGGUGGACAGCAGUCGAGAAUCAUUCACAAUGGGGGAAACCCUGAUGGUGCGACGCCGCGUGGGGGAAUGAAGGUCUUCGGAUUGUAAACCCCUGUCAUGUGUGAGCAAAUUAAAAAGAUAGUACCACAAGAGGAAGAGACGGCUAACUCUGUGCCAGCAGCCGCGGUAAUACAGAGGUCUCAAGCGUUGUUCGGAAUCACUGGGCGUAAAGCGUGCGUAGGCUGUUUCGUAAGUCGUGUGUGAAAGGCGCGGGCUCAACCCGCGGACGGCACAUGAUACUGCGAGACUAGAGUAAUGGAGGGGGAACCGGAAUUCUCGGUGUAGCAGUGAAAUGCGUAGAUAUCGAGAGGAACACUCGUGGCGAAGGCGGGUUCCUGGACAUUAACUGACGCUGAGGCACGAAGGCCAGGGGAGCGAAAGGGAUUAGAUACCCCUGUAGUC